AAUCUGUUCGUAUAGUGGUUAGUAUAAGAGAUUCUGACUCUCUUGACCGGAGUUCGAAUCUCCGACAGAUUA
rfam:Dictyostelium lacteum strain TK F4PJNLW01A00V1, whole genome shotgun sequence.